GAUGAACGCUGGCGGCGUGCCUAAUACAUGCCAGUCGAGCGAACGGACGAGAAGCUUGCUUCUCUGAUGUUAGCGGCGGACGGGUGAGUAACACGUGGAUAACCUACCUAUAAGACUGGGAUAACUUCGGGAAACCGGAGCUAAUACCGGAUAAUAUUUUGAACCGCAUGGUUCAAAAGUGAAAGACGGUCUUGCGGUCACUUAUCGAUGGAUCCGCGCUGCAUUAGCUAGUUGGUAAGGUAACGGCUUACCAAGGCAACGAUGCAUAGCCGACCUGUGAGGGUGAUCGGCCACACUGGAACUGAGACACGGUCCAGACUCCUACGGGAGGCAGCAGUAGGGAAACUUCCGCAAUGGGCGAAAGCCUGACGGAGCAACGCCGCGUGAGUGAUGAAGGUCUUCGGAUCGUAAAACUCUGUUAUUAGGGAAGAACAUAUGUGUAAGUAACUGUGCACAUCUUGACGGUACCUAAUCAGAAAGCCACGGCUAACUACGUG
rnacentral:rRNA from 1 species